rnacentral:lncRNA from 1 species
AUGCGCUUGUGGGCCAAUGAGAAUUUCCGAGGAGGGGGCGGAGAAAGGGGGGGGGGGAGAAAAGUGAAGCUCGGGCAACAGCCCCGGGCGGGGGAGGAAGGGGGCGCACCCCUGACCCACUUUUGCCGACGCCCACCCUCGGCCCCCGCCCCACCGCUGCAAGUCCGAGCCCAGAGGGGGCGAUCGAGCGGGGCGUGGGAGGCCCGCACGCUCCCCACCCCCAGCCGCGACCCGGAGGAGGGCAGCGUGCAAGGCGGCUCGACCCCCCCCCCCCACCCGAGUGCCCGCGGCUGGAGAAACCUCCCACAGGCUCGCGGCCCAGGUCUGCAAAGCCCCCUCCACCGCCUGGGCCCCGGGCGCCGCGGCCCCCAGCGGAGGGGAAGGGGACCGAGGAGGGGAAGAAGCUGUAAACAGCCCCAGCGUCCGGGCCUCGCCUCGAAGAGCCCCGCUUCCCAGGCCCCGCCGCGGCCGCCUGAGUCCCCAGCCCGUCCGAGGGACGCCCCUCCCGGGGCCUCGGGGACCGGAGGGGAGUCAGGUCUCCUCCCCAGAGGGCUCCGGCAGCUCGCGGAGCGGUCCCAGCAGCAGAGAAGGGGGAAGUCAGGACUUACCUGUCAUUACUUUCUACGCCAUCUUGGAUCCACUUGUCAACGUCCCCACAAAGCAUUAUGGGUUUGGCGGAAAGGUAACUAUCCCUUGUGAUUCUCCGGACAAGAAAGGAGCCAAAUGUAUAUUGGAUGUAAGUCCGUUUUAUUAAGGAGCCUGAAAGUAUAAACAACAACCAAAAAAACCUUACAGACCCACGAGCCUUGUGACCCAGCUUUCAUGGAACUCAGCGGUCCUCCUCAGAGCCACAACCAGAGGCCCUCCCAUAAGAGUGAACCCCGGUGUCCCAGAAGACAGCAGCAGGGCCAAGGGUUGAUUUAUCAGCCAUUAUUCAAAUCCCCACUUGCACACAGCCGGAUUUCUUUUCAGCGCAGCCUAAUUAUUUUUUGCUGGCCCUUGUAUCACGUCCGCUCGCCUGAUUUACUUGAAUAAAGGCUUGUGUGAAGUGAAGAGUCUCCA